CUUGGCUCCACAUCCCACGGGGGAGAAGAACUGCCGGCGAGGCGCUGGUCACAUCUUUUCCAACUCUUUUAAUUCCCCCUCUCCAGCCGGAGCCGGUGCUCGCCGCCCGCCUCCUCAGCCAUACUGGUGCGGUACUGGCGCGAUACUGGUGGCACUGGGCUCGCAGAACUUCUCAGCUGCGUUGCACUUCGAUUUGAGGUGCGUGUGGCCGCGCCGGGGAUGCGGCGCGCAAAGAACGCGACUGGCUGGGAGAGAGUUUAUUUUGUUUAUUUCUGCUCUUCCUUCCCCUCCCUCUCCCAGUUUAGCCCAGGAACUCCUGCAGCAUUGGUUAAUCCUCGAGGAGGGAGAACUGCUGAGAUCUUUAGCGAGCUCUCCCCUACCACGGAUACUUCCUAUAGCUCUGGCGUCUCUGUGAGGGAUGUACAGCUACGAGAUGUGAAGAUUCUUCUGACCAGGGGAACCUCGUGGGGUUGCUUCUGCUGUGUUCACCCAUGGACAAGCUCAGCUGCUGCUUAAGUUCUCUGGAUGCACUGGAGGUGUUGAAAGUUGGGGUCAGCUCUAGCAAUGCCAACCCAACCCUGGUGUCCUGAUGUGUCCCCACCACAGGAUCUGUCUUUCUGCUCCGCCCGGAAUCCCCCGGCUCAGAGCCCUCCUGGCAGCGGGGUCGUGGGGUGGGAGGUCACUCGUCGCGUGGACACGAGUUCAAGAUAGAAUGUGGCAGCAGGACCCACCAGGGACCACACCAGCCAAAAUCACAGCGACUCCUCCUCCAGCAGCCCGAGCGGGCUGUCAGGCGCGCAGGAAUGCAGCCGCUUCUCCCUCCCUAUCAGGGAUUCCAAGAGAAAGCAGCAGCGACAGGGAAUGUUUGCCUCCAGGCCUGUUUGCCAGUGCAAAAGUGUUGCGACCUGCUGAUGGAGACAGGUUAUGUAUCGUUACAGCAUAAAUUAUGGAAAGGGCUGGAAUUCCUGUUUGAGCAGCUUCAUGAAAAACUGAACUUUGACUGAACACAAACAGCAAAUAAAGCGGGAAACGAGAUAAAAAAUGAUGCAGGCCUCAGUUUCUUUGAAGGUGAAAUGACUGAUCCCAGGUGUCAGCACCUCAGAGACCCGCUCAGCCUUUUAUAGGACUCUUGGACAGUUUAUAGACACCAGCUGACACCUGUAAAGUUCACCUGAAGCUGUUCAGAAGUUUAAAACACCUCAUUGCAAUUUAUCUGGAACUAUUAAUGCACAAAAAGGCAAAAAUUGAUUAGAGUGGCUGAGGAACUCUUCUGUCCUGUCUUUAAAAAGUGGAUGUAAACCUGUCAGCUUUUACAGCUGUCCUCACACUGCUUCAACUAAACAUAUAUUUGGAGAGGAGAUCUGGCAUUUCUCUCCCAGCCCAGAGUCCUGCUGCUCCUGGUGCCAGGUCCAGAGCAGGGAUGGGGUGUGAGGCAGCUUCUGCAGCAUCAGCAGCAUCAGCUUCAUCAACAUCAUCAACAUCAGCGGCAUCAGCAGGAUCAACAUCUUCAUUCCUUCCCAAGAAAAGUACUGA